rnacentral:rRNA from 1 species
UGGGGAAUAUUGGGCAAUGGGCGCAAGCCUGACCCAGCAACGCCGCGUGAAGGAAGAAGGUCUUCGGAUUGUAAACUUCUGUCAUUGGGGACGAAGGAAAUGACGGUACCCAAUGAGGAAGCCCCGGCUAACUACGUGCCAGCAGCCGCGGUAAUACGUAGGGGGCGAGCGUUGUCCGGAAUUACUGGGCGUAAAGGGUGCGUAGGCGGCGGUGCAAGUCCAUUGUGAAAAGCCCGGGCUUAACCUGGGAGGUGCAGUGGAAACUGCAUGGCUUGAGUGCAGGAGAGGAAAGUGGAAUUCCUAGUGUAGCGGUGAAAUGCGUAGAUAUUAGGAGGAACACCAGUGGCGAAGGCGGCUUUCUGGACUGUAACUGACGCUGAGGCACGAAAGCGUGGGGAGCAAACAG